GCCAGCAGCCGCGGGAACACCGGCGGCCCGAGUGGUGAUCGUGAUUAUUGGGUCUAAAGGGUCCGUAGCCGGUUUGGUCAGUCCUCCGGGAAAUCUGAUAGCUCAACUAUUAGGCUUUCGGGGGAUACUGCCAGACUUGGAACCGGGAGAGGUAAGAGGUACUACAGGGGUAGGAGUGAAAUCUUGUAAUCCCUGUGGGACCACCUGUGGCGAAGGCGUCUUACCAGAACGGGUUCGACGGUGAGGGACGAAAGCUGGGGGCACGAACCGGAUUAGAUACCCGGGUAGUCCCAGCCGUAAACGAUGCUCGCUAGGUGUCAGGCAUGGCGCGACCGUGUCUGGUGCCGCAGGGAAGCCGUGAAGCGAGCCACCUGGGGAGUACGGCCGCAAGGCUGAAACUUAAAGGAAUUGGCGGGGGAGCACAACAACGGGUGGAAGCCUGCGGUUUAAUUGGACUCAACGCCGGACAACUCACCGGGGGCGACAGCAAUAUGUAGGCCAAGCUGAAGACUUUGCCUGAAUCGCUGAGGAGUGGUGCAUGG
rnacentral:rRNA from 1 species